UACGAAGGGUGCAAGCGUUACUCGGAAUUACUGGGCGUAAGCGUGCGUAGGUGGUUCGUUCAGUCUGUCGUGAAAGCCCCGGGCUCAACCUGGGAAUGGCGAUGGAUACUGGCGGGCUAGAGUGCGGUAGAGGAGAGUGGAAUUCCCGGUGUAGCAGUGAAAUGCGUAGAGAUCGGGAGGAACAUCAGUUGCGAAGGCGGCUCUCUGGACCAGCACUGACACUGAGGCACGAAAGCGUGGGGAGCAAACAGG
rnacentral:rRNA from 1 species